rnacentral:hammerhead_ribozyme from 1 species
AUCAAACUGAUGAGUCCAAAAUAGGAUGAAACACGCGUCAAACUCGAU